GUACUUGCUUCGGCAGUAUAUAGACUAAAAUUGCAACGACACAGAGAAGAUUAGCGUGGCCCCUGCUCAUAGUUACAGUUACAUAUAGGAAUUAAUUACAGUUAC
rnacentral:snRNA from 1 species